ensembl:lincRNA
UCUGAGAGUGCUCAGAUUACAGACAUGCACCACCAUGCCCAGCCAACAGUCUUUCUCUUGAUAGCGACUGGGCCAAGCCUGCAGCAAAGCAUUCACCAGCCCUCAGGGUUGCUUGGAGGCCUAAACAAAGAAGUUGGAAUUCUGUCCACUCAUGGAAGGUUGCCUAGACAACUGAGGCCCACCCAGAGCACCCAGUAACCAAAACCAGACAAGAACUCAGCAGAAAAUGGAUGAGCUUCUAGAAGAGGGUUCCUCUGAAUCCUUGGGACCUCAAAGCACAGCCAUACCCCCAAAUGUUGGUCCAACUAACAACCUUGAAGAAGACAACCAGGAGAACCAGUCCAAAGAGGAUGAAGAUGACCACACAGUCCACAGAAUAGCUGACCAAAUUAUCCACGCAGUAUAUAGCCAGCAUGAAGCCAUCAUAUCUGCUCAAGCUGACCACAGAGUAUCUGAAGACUCUGGGUAUACAGUGCAUGAUCAAUAUGACCAAAAAUCAUCUGACUCAACUGAUGACAAGACAUCCAGCCAAGCUAAUGGUAUAGCAUAUAGACAGGUUGAACAUGGGGUACCUGAUCUAACUGAUAGAACUGCUGAACAGGUGGACCGCAGGUUGUCCAAUCAGGCUGGUGGAAGAGCUUCUGAGCAGGUGAACCGUAGAUCAUCCAACCAGCCUGAUAGAAGAGCCUCUGAGCAGGUAGACCACAGAGGGUCCAGCCAAGCUGGCAGAAGAGCUUCUGAGCCAGUAGGGCACAAGUUAUCCAGCCAGGCUAAUAAAAGAGCUUUGGGGCAAGUGGACUACAGCCAGGCUGACAGAAGAGUUUCUGAACAGGUGGGCCACAAGUUAUCUGGUCAGGCUGAUAAAAGAGGCUCUGAGCAGGUGGACCACGGACUGUCUACCCAAGUCAGAGGAUUAGCUUCUCAGCAGAUUGAUGACACAUUGUCCAUGCCACCCAAUAAAGGAGCAUCUGAGAAUGAUCAACACAGAAUAUCUGACCAAAAAACUUCUGAACAGAUUGACUUCAAACUGUCUAGCCUAGCUGAGAGAACUGAGAAAGCUGACCUGAUCUUGUCUGACCAAGAUGAACCUAGAACGGCUAUACAGUACUACCAAGCCACUAAACCAACUGAACAGCAAGAUAUCUACCAAGCUGACAUCAGUACAGAUAAGUUGAUGGUUGGUAGAGGUCCCUAUAGUGAAGAAUACCAGGUUAACAAUUUCACAGGUAAACAAGCUGACCAAAAAGAAAACUCCCUAUCCUACCACAGAACAGGUGACCAGUCUGAGGAUAGAAUAUCUUCCCAAUUCAGCAACCAAGACAAACAGAAUGACUACAGCAUACAGCCCAGCAAAUUUGAGCCUAGUCAAUUGCAAGACCACAAACCCAAGCUUUCUAUGACAACAGAAAGUCAAAGUCCAACCACCAGCCAAGCCUUCACUGAUGAUGCCAGAGUCACCAGUAAUCUCCAAGGAAAAGACCAAGCCUUUUACUCAAAACUUCCCGCUGUCUUGUCCAUCUUGGACCCUAACACCAGUCAAAGAAAAACUCAAGCCACAGAAAUUAAACCUUUUCAGGAUGAUUUUUCAGAAUUCGAGCAAGAAAAUACUUCUCAUACACAGAAGCAGGGGGAAACUCCCAGGGGGAGUUUCCCUCCUAUAGUUUAUGAAGAUCCAUACCAGGUGUCACUCCAGUACAUGGAGGAACACAACAUCCUGCAAAUAUUCCAGCAGAUCACUGAAAACUUAGUCUUUGAAAAGCCACAGGACCCUUUGCAUUUUAUGCUGUGCCAGGUACAGAAAAUGAUAAAAAAUAGAGGCAAAAAGUGA